CCUACGGGAGGCUGCAGUGAGGAAUAUUGGUCAAUGGGCGAGAGCCUGAACCAGCCAAGUCGCGUGAAGGAUGACGGACCUAUGGGUUGUAAACUUCUUUUAUAUGGGAAUAAAGUGAGGAACGUAUUCCUUCUUGUAUGUACCAUAUGAAUAAGCAUCGGCUAACUCCGUGCCAGCAGCCGCGGUAAUACGGAGGAUGCGAGCGUUAUCCGGAUUUAUUGGGUUUAAAGGGUGCGUAGGUGGAUAGUUAAGUCAGUGGUGAAAGUUUGUGGCUCAACCGUAAAAUUGCAGUUGAAACUGGCUGACGUGAGUAUAGUUGAGGUAGGCGGAAUGCGUGGUGUAGCGGUGAAAUGCAUAGAUAUCACGCAGAACUCCGAUUGCGAAGGCAGCUUACUAAACUACAACUGACACUGAUGCACGAAAGUGUGGGGAUCAAACAGGAUUAGAUACCCUAGUAGUC
rnacentral:rRNA from 1 species